rnacentral:rRNA from 1 species
UACGGAGGGUGCGAGCGUUGUCCGGAAUCACUGGGCGUAAAGGGCGCGUAGGCGGCCUGAUAAGUAGGGGGUGAAAUCCUGCGGCUUAACCGCAGGGCUGCCUUCUAAACUGUCAGGCUAGAGCACAGUAGAGGCAGGUGGAAUUCCCGGUGUAGCGGUGGAAUGCGUAGAGAUCGGGAAGAACAUCAGUGGCGAGGGCGGCCUGCUGGGCUGUUGCUGACGCUGAGGCGCGACAGCGUGGGGAGCAAACAGG